rnacentral:rRNA from 1 species
ACGGGAGGCAGCAGUGGGGAAUAUUGGACAAUGGGGGAAACCCUGAUCCAGCGACGCCGCGUGAGUGAAGAAGUAUUUCGGUAUGUAAAGCUCUAUCAGCAGGGAAGAAAAUGACGGUACCUGACUAAGAAGCCCCGGCUAACUACGUGCCAGCAGCCGCGGUAAUACGUAGGGGGCAAGCGUUAUCCGGAUUUACUGGGUGUAAAGGGAGCGUAGACGGUAAUGCAAGUCAGAAGUGAAAGCCCAGGGCUCAACCUUGGGACUGCUUUUGAAACUGUAAUACUAGAGUGCAGGAGAGGUAAGUGGAAUUCCUAGUGUAGCGGUGAAAUGCGUAGAUAUUAGGAGGAACACCAGUGGCGAAGGCGGCUUACUGGACUGUAACUGACGUUGAGGCUCGAAAGCGUGGGGAGCAAACAGGAUUAGAUACCCUGGUA